rnacentral:lncRNA from 1 species
GAUGCAACAUAAAAAUUUCAGAGACAGAAGAAAUCUUCCUUUGAGGGCAGUGAUACACUUAUGUGAGAUUUUGAAAAGUGAAAAAUCAAAGGUGGAAUUGACCAGUAGAUGUAAAAGUACAACAAAUAAACAAAAAUGGCAAUGUUGAAAGUGAAACUGAAAUUCAACAGAAAUAAAAGAAAUAGCAGACUGGGGGGAUAUUGACUUUGACACCAUGAUGCCAGAGGAACUUAGUGAUGGCAAACUUAUCAAUAUAAAAUGAGGAUAUUGGUUGUCAACUAGGAUUGAAAUGCUGUUUUUCUUCCCUGGUACAAUGUUAAAGCUUUAAACUCUUGUCAAUGAUGUGAUGUUUCAUCUGCAAUGAUCUACACUAGAAAAAUAAAAAUGUAGUUACUGACAAAAAAGCAGGAACUACUGCUCUAAGGAAAAAAGGACAGCUACAUGAGGACCACACAACUCCUGGAAGAGGUUUCCCUGGCAACACAACUUUUCCAUUCAUCUGGUUGCAGUGUUUUCAUCCAGUAGCCUGUCACCUCACUCAAAAGCAGGGCAAUGGAGAGAAAGAAACUUACCAAGUUUUUUCUUUUAACUAGAGAGUAGCCUACUUAUUGGGCCCUGCAAUUAAUUUCAGUACUCCAGGCAGAUUUAUAAAGGAAGCUGCUGGAAGGAAUUCAUUCCCUUUUUGCUGUUCUGCCUUCCACCUUCCACUGUGUGAGGACACUGCAAGAAAGCCCUCAUCAGACACCAACUGCCAGCACCUAGAUCUUGGAAUUCUCAGCCUCCAGAACUGUGAGAAACACGUUUCUGUUUUUCUAUAAAAUAAUAAUAAUAAAAAA